CUACGUGCCAGCAGCCGCGGUAAUACGUAGGGCGCGAGCGUUGUCCGGAAUUAUUGGGCGUAAAGAGCUUGUAGGCGGUUUGUCGCGUCUGCUGUGAAAGGCCGGGGCUUAACUCCGUGUAUUGCAGUGGGUACGGGCAGACUAGAGUGCAGUAGGGGAGACUGGAAUUCCUGGUGUAGCGGUGGAAUGCGCAGAUAUCAGGAAGAACACCGAUGGCGAAGGCAGGUCUCUGGGCUGUAACUGACGCUGAGAAGCGAAAGCAUGGGGAGCGAACAGGAUUAGAUACCCUGGUAGUCCAUGCCGUAAACGUUGGGCACUAGGUGUGGGGGACAUUCCACGUUUUCCGCGCCGUAGCUAACGCAUUAAGUGCCCCGCCUGGGGAGUACGGCCGCAAGGCUAAAACUCAAAGAAAUUGACGGGGGCCCGCACAAGCGGCGGAGCAUGCGGAUUAAUUCGAUGCAACGCGAAGAACCUUACCAAGGCUUGACAU
rnacentral:rRNA from 1 species